CAUCUGCUGUGGGUGUUCCUGAUCUUUGAGCCAUGAUAAUGUUACUGGUUGGAUGUCAGGAGCAGGCCAUGUGGAUGAUUAAAAGAUGAAUAUCAUAUACAGCAUGGAUAUGUUGGACAAAAAGAUGAUUCACAUCCCAGACAGAAUGGAGCAGGAUUUAAAAAGGUCAUGGGAUUGCAAAGCUGCCAAGUGGCUGACUGGGGCCGCAGUACAUUACAGAGGUAUAGACAGAUCAUUCCGUGGAUGGACUGAAACUGGAGACUGAGUAAUUGGUGGCAACUUUUCCAAAGGAUCAUGUUUUUUUCUAAAUGUGAAAUCUGCAGCCCAAGCAUCUUUUCUGGUGGGGAAUAAAUCAGUCAACCACAGAUACUGAAUACCUCAUUAGCACCACAGUUACGAAAAUGAAGAAACCCCGAUACGGUUCAUUUAUCUAUCCUGUCACAAUAACCAAAUUUCCUCAAAGUUAACAUCACUGCUGCUUUCACUGACACCUCACGUAGGAGUCAGGAAACCCGCAAGCAGAUCUCUGAGUCCCCAAGGCAGGCAAAGUGAAGGCGUGAUCCCUGGAGCUGAUCUCGUGUCACUCCAUUUCCCCAUGACUCAUACUUUUAAGUCACAUUGGCUUGUUUGUGACUCUGCUACAGUAACCUGCCUGCGUAUUCCCUUUGAAAUAAGGAAAAUUAUGUGCUUAAAAUGGGCCUCUUCUAUUUUCACACAGAAGUCUUUUCCCCUGCCUCUCUUCAUUCCUUAUUUCUUAACUUAUCACAAAGCUCCUCUCGCCUUAGAACCUGCAAUAUUAAUAUCCUCCUGUAAGGAAAUAAACUGAACCCACCCACAAGGUGAAAGUGCUUUGUGAAACUGUCAAAAUUCUGUUCAUGUCAUUGGCCCAAGUGUAGGUGAGAGAAUAUGACCAUAGAGGGCCUGGACACACAGGGACCUGAGGCAGAGCAGGGCUUCGGAGCCACGUGGAGGAUGGAGAAUGAAGACACCAAGUUUCCAAUAGAGAAUUACCAGCGGUCACCUGCACUCAUGUUUACACAGCAAUGUGCGGAAAUGCAGAAGAAAAGAUCUCCUCAACUACAAAUUUGACUUCACUAAUUUCCCUUACCAAUAUAUAGCCAGCUACACAUUGUUGUUAAAUUAAAACACUUUAAAAAGUCAAAUGGUCGGGCGCAGUGCCAAGGGGCUUCACUUUGGGAGGCCGAGGCAGGCGGAGGUCAGGAGAUUGAGACCAUCCUGGCUAACACGGUGAAACCCCGACUCUACUAAAAAUAUAAAAUAUUAGCCGGGUGUGGUGGCAGGUGCCUGUAGUCCCAGCUACUCGUGAGGCUGAGGCAGGAGAAUGGCGUGAACCCGGGAGGCGGAGAUUGCAGUGAGCUGAGAUUGUGCCAGUGCACUCCAGCCUGGGCAACAGAGCAAGACUCCGUCUCAAAACAAACAAACAAACAAACAAAAAGUCAAAUCGACUUUUGUUAGAUUUUCUUCCAAUCUACCUGUUCUGAUUCUCUUUUAUUAAGCAGACUCUUAGCUAUUUGAUAUGUUCUGCAUGGAAGACACAACCUGAAUAUUUCUGUAUGUUUCUCUUCAACUUCUGAUUUUGCAAUAUUCUUUCCUUAGGGACUUCUUGAAGAGAGCUCACAGGGAAAAUUACUACCCCCAGGACUCCAUCAGAUUUUCAUGUCAGUUAGGAACUUUGGCAGUAGUUUUAACAGUUCCUCGUUGUGAAUAUGAUCACUUUGUUAGAACAACUCCUUCCUGCUUCCUCCAAUGCUUUAGAAACUCUUCCUUCGUGUUAUAUUCAAUAGGAAAAUGAGCAACAGUUCAGCUGUUACGCAUACAGUGAUCUUUAUCAUUCUUAUUCAUAAGUAAAGCAAAAACUGUUAAGAUGAGUAGACAUAUAAUAACCAAAGAAAACUUACAUAUACAACAAAACAAUAAUAUUUUUAAAAUGGGGUGUAAAAGAAAUAUUUUCUUUGCAAAAGUGACCCCUUAGUAUAGUGAUUAGUAAAUUAUCACUUCUUCCAGCUCACAAAAAAUAAUCCCAACUUCCAGCUGAAAUAAAAAUCGCAUUUAUUUUGCUAAUCUACAUAAAAAUCGUUUAAAUUUGUUUCAGUGAAAUAAGACUAGAAACAAAAUUGUGGGAUGUAUUUUUAUGGAAUUUUGCAAACUUAAAUGCAAAGAAGUCACAAAUCUAAAUAUUAUAGAGUUUGAUCUAUUAUGAGUUUGUAACAAAAAUAAGAUAUAUAGUGUUCUUUUUUAUAUUUUAGCAAUUUUAAAAUGUAAUACGAUCUUCAUUGUAUCAUGAUUUAGUAACUUUGCCUAACUUGUUUAAACGUAACUGAAAACUGAGAAAGAGGGUUUUUUUAAAUCAAAUGUUUGGAUGAAUAUUUGAGUAUAGUAUGAAAAUCUCAUACAAAUAAAUAAGAUUUUCAGACAAGGUUACCUUUUUCUUUUUCUUUCUUUUUUUUCUUUACAGAUAGAGUCUUUUUAAAAUUAUUAUUAUACUUUAAGUUC
rnacentral:lncRNA from 1 species